CGUGCAAAAACCGUCAACACAAACCUGGUGACCAAAGAGGGUAUCAGGCAGGAUACAGGAGGUCACCACGUUCACUGACAGGACACAGGAGGUCACCAUGUUCACUGACAGGACACAGGAGGUCACCACGUUCACUGACAGGACACAGGAGGUCACCACGUUCACUGACAGGACACAGGAGGUCACCACGUUCACUGACAGGACACAGGAGGUCACCACGUUCACUGACAGGACACAGGAGGUCACCACGUUCACUGACAGGACACAGGAGGUCACCACGUUCACUGACAGGACACAGGGGGUCACCACGUUCACUGACAGGAGACAGGGGGUCACCAC